UACGUAGGGUGCGAGCGUUGUCCGGAAUUAUUGGGCGUAAAGGGCUCGUAGGCGGUUUGUCGCGUCGGGAGUGGAAACUCAGGGCUUAACCCUGAGCCUGCUUCCGAUACGGGCAGACUAGAGGUAUGCAGGGGAGAACGGAAUUCCUGGUGUAGCGGUGAAAUGCGCAGAUAUCAGGAGGAACACCAGUGGCGAAGGCGGUUCUCUGGGCAUUACCUGACGCUGAGGAGCGAAAGUGUGGGGAGCGAACAGG
rnacentral:rRNA from 1 species